GCGGCACCCCCUUCCUUCUCUCCGGCCGACGACCCCUCUUCUUCUCUUCACUGUCGCCGCCCGACCAUCCACAAUCUACUCUUAUUCUUCUCGAUUCCAGCGGCGACGACAGAGGCAAACUCGGCAGGGGGCAGCAAGCUUCGGUGACGACUCCGAUCAAGCUCAACUCGCCGGAGAGGGCUUCUCCGGUGUUUACCUUCUUCCCUCGAACCCUAGAAGUCGGCCGCAGCGGGUUGCAAAAGCUAGGUCUUCAAGGUUCGGUGGUGGCAACGAGCUCCGUCCAACUUCACUUCGCCAGAGGGGUUCUCUGGUGUGAUCUCCAUCGUUUGAUUCCUUCUGGCAGCUCCACCAUUUGGGGUUCAGGCGGCAAGGCAAGGAGGCAGCGGCGGUGGUUCAUUCCAUUUCACGACAUCUCCAUUUCCAGUCAACUUCCAGUGAGAGGGUUCUUCGGUGGAAGAUUCGUUCAUCACAUUAUCGUUGUCGAAGUGUGUAGCAUUCCAGCAGUGAGCUACUGUUCACUAGAGUUCGGGAUUUGAUCAUCGGAUCCUCAUGUGACGACGAGGGUAAUCUUUGGUAUUGGAAAUUGGAGUGUGGAUUGUGGUGUGGUAAUUUAGUUCUGCUCAUUGUUGAUAUUUGUGUUGAAUUUUGAUUGAAUGCUUAUAUUGAGCUUAAUUUCCUAUGUUUGAAUUACAUUGUUCUUGUUUCAUUUAUUUCAUGCAUGUAAUGUGUUCGAUGAAUUGCUUCAACCAAUAGUUAGGUUUAUUUUGAUGCAUUUUAGUUUGGUUAAUUCUUGCUUGUCUUGUUCUUCCAAUUUCUUUAAGUUCUAGUUCUUUAUUUGAAUGCAAUUAGGAUAGAUUAGCUUAGGUUUCAUUUCAUGCUUUAUGUUUCGUUUUAUGCUUUACUUCAUGUUGUCUUUUAUUUUCUACAAUUGUAGUUAUGUUAGGUUUAGCUUUAUUACUUGCAUUGUCUUUCAUUUAUUAGAUUAGCUUUCAUUUAAUGCUUUACUAUUUUCUUCCUUAGUUUAAUUGUGUUGAUGGUUGAACCAUAACGUAGAGUGACAAUGCGUUGUGGAUUAAUUGUUGGCAUUUAGUUAGAUUUCAUUACAGCAUUAUAUUAGUUUCGUACUUGCUUUGCUUUUCAUUUGUUAGGUUUAGAAUUAAAAUCCAAAACCCCCAUUUCUAUAUUAAAAAUCUCAAAAAUAGGAAUAACAUACGAUUCUAAGUUUAUCACUUACUGUUACAUUCGUUGGCAGACGACCCGAGUCAUUUCUAUGCUACAUUAGCAUAGGAGGGGUUUGGUACUUCAUUGUUUGAUGCCCAUUUCACGACAAAAUUAGGUCAUAAUCAAAUUGGCAUCGUUGCCAGAGAUGAGUAGCGGUGUUUGGUAAUUUUAGGAUUAUUUUCUAUUUUCUCUCUUUUCUUGUUUCUAUUUUUUGUGGUUGCAAAAAUUCAAAAAGAUUAUUAGGGCCUUAAUUAUUUCAUCUCUUGUAUGCAUGUGUGCUAUCUUGUAUAUUUUCAUGUGUCUUUUGAUGGUAUUUGCAUGAGUAUUUCAGGCAAGACUAGGAAAUCUCUUGUGCGUUAUCAGUAGUUCCAGAGUUUUAGUGUGAUCAGGAUCUCAGAUUUGAUGAGUACUAUGGAGAACGACACUGAAAAGACUCAGAGAGCUUUGGGCAUCAGAUUUAUCAGUUGAUUCAUUUUGCAUCAGAUAUUCUGAUUUAGAGGCAGACUUCGAGUUAUGACAUAUUGUUCAACUAUUACCGAAGUUUCAUGGACUUUUUGAUGAAGAUCCUAACAGACAUCUACAAGAAUUGGAUAUGGUGUGCUCUUCAUGGAACCCACUUGGCAUAUCAGGAGGAUCGCAGCUAUUCGGAGGAGUAUUUGUGGAAUUCAACAAUUUACAGGAGAACCGUUUCAAGAAUAUUGGGAAAGAUUUAGAAGACUUGUUGCUAGUUGCCCUCAGCACCAGAUAAGCGAUGAGCUACUGAUUAUAUACUUCUAUGAGGGAUUGCUUUUCAUGGACAGGAGUAUGGUUGAAGCAGCUAAUGGAGGGACUCUAGUUAACAAGACACCUACUCAAGCUAGAGAACUUAUCGAGAUUAUGACUUCAAAUUAUCAGCAGUAUGAGACUAGACCGAUGAUUGCUAAAGAUGUUCAUUCCUUUGCCAAUGUAUUCUCGACCAGGAUCCAGUAUCAGCAGCCUGAUCCUCAGUAUUAUCAGACUCAUUAGCAGGAUAAGUAUAAUUCAUUUGCAGGAUUCGAGUAUGGGAAUACACAACAAGGGACUUCUAAGUGGCCCUAGUCUUACUAGCUUUACUUUCAGCACCAUCAGCCUGAGCAGGAUCUUAGGGAGCAAUCACAACUAUUUUGGCAACAACAAGACACACAAUUCAAGGAAAGAACACAUUCAUCGGCAUAGUUAUAGUUGCUAUCAGAUCAACCUACUGCAUCAAUUCCUGAGAAGAUGGAUUGUAGAGUUUGUGAUAUUCCUGACUUUAAUUCUAUUACUUUACAUGACUCUUCUAGUUUUUUAUAUCGUGAUGUUGUAGUUUAUUUUGAUAUUAUUUUUGUUGAUGAUAUUGCUAUUCCAGAUAGUCUUGAUGUUGCAGGUAUAGGAGAUGAUGAUGGAAGUGUAGGGGAAACCUAAGAAUCACUUCCAAUGACUAUUUUAUCAUUUAAGCUAGUUGAGUCUACUAUUCUACUUAAUGACGAUGGAAGUGUAGGAGAAACUCAAGAAUCACUCUCGUUGAUUGUUCCUGAUCCAGAGCUUGAUCUUUUAUCUAACCAAGAAAAUAUUGCAUUCACUGAUUUAGAACCUCUAGAUACCUUUCAAGAUGGUAAGGUUGAUAUUUCUUCUGAAUCUUUAGGAAAUUUCAUGGAGGUAAUUCAUUUUAAUUGUAUUAAAUGUGACACAUCUUUUGAUUCAUGCUUUGUUGAUUUUGUUAUUAUUUAUAGUCUAUCUUACAUAGUAUGCGUGCAAGAAUUGCAUCCUCUUUUUAGUAUAUAGGAUUUCUUCAGACAUUUCAUUUGCAGUCAUUCACACAAGGAUGCAUUCUAUCACUUGAUGAAAGCCCUAACAUUCUAUGCAAUAAUCAAGCUUAUGGAGUGGAUAUUUCAAAUGAACCAUCUCUUACCACUUCCAGAUUGGUUGUUGAAGCUAAAUCGACUCCGAUCGCCAGAAUUUUAGGGGAGUCUGUUCCAUCCUACUUUUUCUUUUUUCUUUCUGUUUGUAUAUAUGUCUUUACUUUCUUUGCUUUGUUUGCGUUAUUUGCUUUUGUUUGGUUGUUUAUUUUUAGUUUGUCUUAUCAGUUUUUAUAAUAAAUUCUCUAUGUAUUUUUUUAUUAUCUUAGAAAUUAUAAAAGUUAGUUAAAUUUGAUUGUCAAGUUUGAUGAUUUAUUGUUAUGAUUGUAUUCUUGGAUUGCAUAAAUUCUCUAUGCAUGAUUGAUUUAGAAAUAAAGAGUACAAAAAAACCUUAUAUAGUUAGUUACAAGAAAAACCUAAACCCUAAAUUGAAAUGAUAAAAGAUUAAAUUGUCCUAAAGGUCAUAAAUAAAUAAUUCUAAUAAAACUAUAUAAUCUAACAAAUAUCAUGUUAUAGUAGUUACGGAUUAUAAUUAUUAUAGCAGGAUAAUUUAUCUCUCAUCAAUACUAAUUAAUAUUAUUUUAGUAGUUAUAUAAAUUUUAACGGUUACAACUGUAUAGUAUACUUAUAGUAGCGGGAUUGUAGAUAUUAUAUGAUCAUGUCUGAAACUGAUGGAGAUGGUGCACUGGACAGGUGGCUUUGAUAUUGAAUGGGAGAAGACUUCUGCACCGAGGAGAGACUCGUUUCUCUCUGCGCACACCAAAGAGAAAGCAAAGGGAACGUUAGAGCAAGAAUAAGGGAAGAGUUCCCUAGCGCAGGCCCUCCGACGCUCAAGUUAGUAUAUUGAUUGAGCGGGACAAUGGAGAAGAAUGUAGUAAAAUGCGUGUGUGUAAGUGAGAUUGUUAUAAAAGCGUGUACCUUAUCAACGGAGAAACCCCCUUUAUAUA